GCGUGGGAAUCUACCCAUCCCUACGGAACAACUCCGGGAAACUGGAGCUAAUACCGUAUACGCCUCCGGGAAGGAUUAUCGGGAGUGGAUGAGCCCGCGUUGGAUUAGCUAGUUGGUGGGGUAAGUGGCCUACCAAGGCGACGAUCCAUAGCUGGUCUGAGAGGAUGAUCAGCCACACUGGAACUGAGACACGGUCCAGACUCCUACGGGAGGCAGCAGUGGGGAAUAUUGCACAAUGGGCGCAAGCCUGAUGCAGCCAUGCCGCGUGUGUGAAGAAGGCUCUAGGGUUGUAAAGCACUU
rnacentral:rRNA from 2 species